rnacentral:snoRNA from 1 species
ACGGUAUGAUGAGGACAUUUUCGAAUGAGUUCCUUUAAUCUUUCCCAUGACUCAUGGAACUUCUCACCAUCUUGUUGCGAAAGGCUAGUGAGAGCUCAUCUUAUCU